rnacentral:rRNA from 1 species
GACGAACGCUGGCGGCGUGCUUAACACAUGCAAGUCGAACGGUGAAGCGCCUUCCUUUUUGGUGGGUGUGGAUGAGUGGCGAACGGGUGAGUAACACGUGAGUAACCUGCCCCCUUCUUCUGGAUAACCGCAUGAAAGUGUGGCUAAUACGGGAUAUUCUGGGUCUGUCGCAUGAUGGGUCUGGGACAGAUAUUGUUUCGGUGGGGGAUGGGCUCGCGGCCUAUCAGCUUGUUGGUGGGGUGAUGGCCUACCAAGGCGGUGACGGGUAGCCGGCCUGGGAGGGUGGACGGUCACACUGGGACUGAGACACGGCUCAGACUCCUACGGGAGGCAGCAGUGGGGAAUAUUGCACAAUGGGCGCAAGCCUGAUGCAGCGACGCCGCGUGAGGGAUGGAGGCCUUCGGGUUGUGAACCUCUUUCGCCAGUGAAGCAGGCCUGCCUCGUUUGUGGGUGGGUUGACGGUAGCUGGAUAAGAAGCGCCGGCUAACUACGUG